CGAGCGGAAAAUAAUUACUGUUCUAUAUGAUUUUUUUGGUUUUGAAUAAAUAUCAGAUAAAUAUCAUUAUGUAUUUAUUUAAUAUUUUUGAGUAACUUUUUAAAAUGGAAUUCUAUUCUUCAACUUGCUUUUUAAAAGGAUUAUCACUUUUCUUACUUGGAUCUUAUGAACAAUACACAUUCAUCCUUUAAAAGGAAAGGAAAGGUAGUAGUACCAAGAUGAGGAUAUUAAAGAAGAAGAAGAACCUUGCAAUACAACAACAGAAUUAUGAAAAGGAGAUGGUGGAAGUUGUACUGGAGUAGGUGAAUAUCUAGCAGCUGAACUCAUAUUAGGAUCAAGAGGACUAACACGAUGUUUAAAAUCAGAAAGUGGAGAUGAAGCUCUAGGAGAAAAUGAAACUUGUUCAUAUGUUGGAAAUAAACGAGAAUAUUCUCGUGAUGGAUCUUCCACAUAUUCCACCUAAUAAAAAAAUAAUUUCAGAUAUCAUAAA